rnacentral:rRNA from 1 species
AUUGAACGCUGGCGGCAGGCUUAACACAUGCAAGUCGAACGGAGUGGCGGACGGGUGAGUAAUGUAUCGGAACGUGCCCAGUAGCGGGGGAUAACUACGCGAAAGCGUAGCUAAAACCGCAUACUAUUGGAGCGGCCGAGAUCGGAUUAGCUAGGUGGUGGGGUAACGGCUGACCAAGGCGACGAUCCGUAGCUGGUUUGGGAGGCUUACCAGCCACACUGGGACUGAGACACGGCCCAGACUCCUACGGGAGGCAGCAGUGGGGAAUUUUGGACAAUGGGGGAAACCCUGAUCCAGCCAUCCCUCGUGUGCGAUGAAGGCCUUCGGGUUGUAAAGCACUUUUGGCAGGAAAGCGGUACCUGCAGAAUAAGCACCGGCUAACUACGUGCCAGCAGCCGCGGUAAUUC